AUGGCGUGUCGUCAGCUCGUGUCGUGAGAUGUUGGGUUUAAGUCCCGUAACGAGCGCAACCCUUGUCCUUAGUUACCAGCACGUUAUGGUGGGCACUCUAAGGAGACUGCCGGUGACAAACCGGAGGAAGGUGGGGAUGACGUCAAGUCAUCAUGGCCCUUACGGCCUGGGCUACACACGUGCUACAAUGGUCGGUACAAAGGGUUGCCAAGCCGCGAGGUGGAGCUAAUCCCAUAAAACCGAUCGUAGUCCGGAUCGCAGUCUGCAACUCGACUGCGUGAAGUCGGAAUCGCUAGUAAUCGUGAAUCAGAAUGUCACGGUGAAUACGUUCCCGGGCCUU
rnacentral:rRNA from 1 species